rnacentral:lncRNA from 1 species
GAUAUUCAACCAGUGAUGAGCUACCCAGAAGUCCCCUUUGGUGAGACUUUAGAACUGAGAUCCCUCUUUCUCCAUCACAUUGUAAUAUACAAAUAAAGCCAAAACCCAGGAAGGGCUAUAAUUUUAGCAAAAGGGACCUAGACAGCUCAGUAAAACAAGAAAAGUAAAGAGACUUAGGCUUAGAAAGUAACAAAACAAUUAUUACUCCCUGAUUAUAUGAUGAACUACAUAGGGCAUCCAAAACAAUCUAUCGUUAAAAUGCGAGUUCAGUAAAGUUGCUGAACAAUAUACAAGUACAAUAUACAAACAGCAAUUUGUUUCCCAUACUAAUUGGUUACUGGUGGCUACAAAAUGUAUUUGUAUAAAAAUUUUUCAUUCACAAAAACAAAAAUCAUAAAGAACCUAAGAAUAAAUCUAACAAAAGAUUUGUGAGAACAAUAUAACUGCCUUGCAGAACAUUAAAGAAUACUUAACCAGAAAUAUAUAUCAUAGGACUCCAAUAAGACAAUUAUCCCCACCGUAGCUUAUAAACUCAAUGAAAUUUCAAUUCCAAUCCCAACAUGGUUUACUGGAUUUUCUUUGAGAUGGGGAUAGAAUUUGACAAGCUGGCUUAAAAUUCAUUAAGAGUGAAGAUUUACAUUAUCAAACUUUAAGACACAUCAAAACUGUUAUAAUUAAUACAAUACGAUAACGACAUGAAAGCAGGCAAAUCAAGUAAGACUAUGGUAUAGAAUAGACUCUAGAAAUGAACUCAUGUAGUAAAUAUAAAACUUUUUAACAAAAUUUAAAAUAACCCACAGAAGAAACAACAAGUGCUGAUGAGUUUCUGGAGGAAAAGGAAUUUUCAUGCACUGUUGGUGGGAAUGCAAACUGGUGCGGCCACUAUGGAAGACAGUAUGGAGGUUCCUAAAAAAGUUAAAAAUAGAAUUGCCCUAUGACCCCGUAAUCACGCUACUGGGUAUUUACCCCCCAAAAAUACAAAAACACUAAUCCAAAAAGAUAUAUAUAUAUCUCUCCCUAUGUUUACAGCAGCAUUAUUUACAACAACCAAAUUAUGGAAGCCGCCAAGGGUCCAUAAAAAAGACUGAAAUCUUGCCAUUUCCAAUGACAUGGAUGGAGCUAGAGGGUACAAUGCUAAGUGAAAUAAAUCAGAGAAAGACAAAUAUCUUAUGAUUUCACUCAUAAUAGGAAUUUAAAAAACAGAACAAGCAAACAAAGGGGGAGAAAAAAAGACAUGCCAAGAAACGGGAAGUAUGUGAGGGGAUGAGUGAAAUGGGAGAUGAAAAUUAAAGAGUUCACUUGUCAUGAUGAGCAGUGGGUAAUGUACAGAAUUGCUGAACUGCUAUUUUAUACACUUGAAACUAAUAAACACUGUAUGGUAACUAUACUGAAAUUAAAAUUUAAAAAAUAAAUUUUAAAAACCCACAAAUAGAAAAAAUACCUAUAAUGCUAAUACCAAAAACAUUAAUAUCCAGAUUAUAAAAAGAAUUGCCAUAAAUCAAUAUAAAAGCCAAUACCUGGCAGGAAAAAAAUUAGCAAAGGACACAGAGAAAAGAUUCACAAAAUAGGAGACGAGAAUGAACAAGACCCACACAAAGAUGUUCAACUUCACCAGUAAUCAAAGUAAUGAAAAGAGUUUAUCUCUCAGAGAGGUAAAAAUCAGUGGCUGGAUAAAACAAAAUCUUCAUUAAUGAAUGGGGAAACAUGCUGGUGGGCACAACAUGCCCACCAGAGGUAGAGUACUACUUCUACUUUGGACUGAACUUGGCAUAUUCAGUAAAAUGAAGUAGCACCUACACCUUGUGAUCCAGCAAUUCUACUCUUGUGUGUCUGUCCUAGAUAAAGUUACACGUUGACUAGGCACUUACUUACAAAGCUAUUCAUUACAGUAUUAUUUGCCAAAGGUAGGCCUUACCUUAGUAUAAAACUGAGUUUUAUUCAACACAGAAUACCAAACAGCAGUUAAAAAGAAUGAACUAAACCUACAUGUGUCAAUAAGAAUACAUCUAGAAAACAAUGUAUGACAAUUUUUCAAGUCAUCUUUUAUGUAAAUGUUUUAUAUGUACAAAAGAACAGAGACAUGAUGCACAAGAACUUCAGGAUAAUGAGUACCUCUGAAGGAGGGAGGAAAGGUUGCGGGCGGCGGGGGGGGGGGGGGUAGAAUUUUAAAAGUAGAGAAAAAGCAAAGGAGGCAAAAAGUUAACAUCUAUUUGACCUUCAGUCUGGGUACAAAGGUGUUUAUUGCAUUGCUUUCAGUAAGUUUUUGGGUUUUUUUUCAAACUAUUUCAUAAUUUACACAAAUUUUUAAAAGAAAUUGAAAAUAGUAAGCUUGCUGAUUAUGAACAGCAAUUCUAGAGUACAACUGAAAUAACUAGAAAGGGGAAAAAAAGACUUUCGUUAAGGUAAAAAAUUAGAAAAUGUUAUGAAGAUGAUUCAGAAGAUAGUGCACCUGCUGACGAAAAACGGGAUGAGAAACAAGUCUCAGACUUCUUGAGGAAAACAGAAAUUGGGCCUCCUGGCCAGACGAUUUUGUCUCAACAGGACCAAAAUAAAGUAAAUCCAAUUAGUUUAUUAUCUCAGCUCACUUGGCCUGGCAUCAUUGUGAUUCUCAUCAAUUCUGAUCACUAUGCAUUAUGAAAAUGUACUAAACUGAGUCUAAUAGGUGCAAGGCAUUCUGCUACAUAAUACAAGCAACUGAUGGGACGCCUGGGUGGCUCAGGAAUCAAGCAUCUGCCUUUAGCUCAGGGCAUGAUCCCAGGAUCCCGGAUUAAGUCCCACAUUGGGCUCCCUGUGGGGAGCCUGCUUCUCCCUCUACCUAUGUUUCUCCCUCUCUCUACGUCGCUCAUGAAUAAAUAAAAUUUUUUUUUUAAAUAAUACAAGGAACUGAAAGAGAUAUAUUACCAGUUCUCGGGAAACUUAUCAUUUAGUGUGCGAGCUAAGAUCUAUCUGUACAUAAAGAAAAGAAAAAAAAAGCCCUAGCACUUAACACUUGAACAAGUGCUACUAGAACUCAAAGGAAGAAAAGAAUCCAUCAGGUUGCUGGGAUGUACACGAAAGGCUUCACCUACAGCAGUGAAACUAAAGCUGAGUACUGAAGAACAGGAAGCAAUUCAAAUGGUAUAAAAAUUAGCAUUCUAGGUAGAAAAAAAAAAGUGGCAAAGAAAUGUAGAUUCUGAGGACAAAAAUAUAAAGUGUAAAUGCUUGGAAACUUUUGGAUCUUAAUUAGAAAAGUAAAAUACUCUGGGCCUCCUGGGUGGCUCAGUUGGCUGAGCAUCCAAAUCAUGAUUUCAGCUCAGGUGAUCUCAGGGUCAUGGGAUUAGGCCCCAUAGGAGGCUCCAUGCUCAGAGGAAAGUCUGCUUCUCUCCCUCUUCCUCUAUCCCUCCCCUACUUGUGCACACAUGCACUCUCUCGCUCUCUAAAAUAAGUAUAUAAAUCUUAAGAAAAAUAAAACACUCUAACAAUAAGCAAUCUGUAAAUUAGAUUAAUCAAGGUUCUUGGUUGCAAACAACAGAACCUAUUUCAGGAAAUUUCAACAAAAAAGGCAUUUAUUAAAAUAUAUUAGGUGAUUCAAAGAACUCCCCCCAAAAAGCCCAAGAAUCAGGUUGGAGGUAUACAGCCAGGAAAAAUACCUAAGUCUCCCCACCAAACUAUUCCCACCUUUGAGCCCUCCUACCAUGAAAGUGGAGCCUCAAACAAAGGGCUCACUAGGAUGUCUCCCACUGCUGCCUCUAAAAGCUUAAUCUCCUACCUUCUAACAUCCACAUUAGCAAGCAAUUCCAAGUAAGAGCUGUUACCUUGCAAUUCUCUCUUCUGAAUUCAUGUCUUACACAGUUGCUUCCGAUGAAAAGAAGCUAGGUCACAUGCCUGUGUCCUAGCUGUAAGGGAUGCUAGAAAAUUUUAGUUUUGCCUUCUAUAGGGCUCCUAACAUAAAAAUUUCUCCAACACUAAGAAGUUAUUUGAAAUGAGACCAAAUACAGACCAAGCCUUGGCUAUCAAACAACAUACACAUUGAUUCCAAACUUCAAGCUCCAAACAAGGUUCUCAAGCCGGAUAGAUUAUAACUAAACAUUGCACGAAUAAAACUCUUUCUGUUCCUCAAAGGGAGAUAAAAACCAGACUCUUAUUAGUUGUUGCACACAGCUCCAAACAUCAGAAUCUCUGGCUGAUGCUCCUUCCCUUCUGGUUUCUUCUACAACCCAUGGACUAAACUAAAAAGGGGAAUAGAAAUGGAAAAUCAAGUGAAAAUAUUUUUUUAAAUAUAUAAACAAAGAAGGAAAACUUAGGUUUUACAGACCUAAGUCAAUUCUAGGAACCAUGUGAAGAACUACAACUCACUCUUAUAAUAGAUCAAGUCAGACCUUCACUUGUGAGUCCUAAAAUUUUUGUCAUAUAGAUCAAGUAAGACCUUAAUGGGCUACCCAUCUAUUUUAGACCUCGGGAUCCCAUUAUCAUUUAGCUACAGCCACAAAGAAGCAAUCAGGUCAGUGCAUCUCUGAUCAUCAUGCCUGUCAUGCUAACUUAUGCAAAUAAUGCCCACCUAUGAAAGUUAGAGCCACACAAGAAUCUUACCACCUGAAAUCAGAAAAACAUUUCAAUGGUACUAUCUACUCCUACCUACAGACAAUAGCAAUUAUAAUGCAAAAUAAUCACAGAUGCUGGCACGGUCCUCAAAGUAUUUCUCAUUACCUGGGGAAUGAAGUAUCUUCUAGGCCUCUUAAUGGAUAAUGGUGAAGAUGAAAUGAGAUGGUUGAAUGGUUGCAAUGAAACAUCCACUCCAUCAGUCCUAUUAUGUCCCUUAAUCUUCCAACUUCUUCCUCUAUAUUACACCACAAAUUUGUAGGCAUUCAACUUCAUUUAGUAUAGGCCAAUGCUGAGAUCAAUGAAAGGAGUAAUUACAACAUCUUCUAGUUGCUUGAGCUAGAAUCCUGACUAUAGAAUCUCUAGUAAUUGCAACAACAUGCCAAUACACUGAGCCAAAUGCAAAAGCAUGUUUCUCUCAUCAUCAGCAUCCAUUUCUAAACAUAUUACUGAAGCUUUGUGGUAUGUUAGCAAAAAUCUUUUUAUCAGAAUGUUAAUAUAUAAUCCUUUUCUUCCCAUUUUGACUAUGCAAAGGUAUAGCAUGCUAUAAUCUACUCCAGUUACGGAUCUGAAAACAAUGAGGAUUGUGGAAGGGGUAUAACAAAACUGGCUUCCCCUUAAAUGAUAACCAUCAUAAACUAGAUUGUUAAAGGUCCUCAAAUAACACACAGAAAGACAGCUUCUGCCAGCAUGAGAGACUUAAUGACAUUUGGAGACUUAACGUACUAUGUGUCCAUAAUUCCUCAUAUAAGGAAAAUUUAUUUGAAAGAUUAUUAGCAGCCAUAAAUCUGUCAUAUCUCCAAAUAAAGGGGGGGAAGAUAUUUACUACAUUGCUAUUUCAUCUCCAAAAUCUUCUUGAAAUAAUAUAAGAUUAUUCUAAUUGGCUAUUCUAUUAUGUAUUUAGUAUUAAUUGUUACAACUUCUACAUACUAAUAAAGGAGCAUUAUGUACUCAAAUUCAAGAGCAAUAGAAUUUAUGCCUCUAGAGGGCAGCAUUUCUCAUAGGAUACAUAAGUUUGACUUUAAAAAGGAAUUUAAUUGUCCAAAGAAUUUAAGAAAUGCAGGAUAAACAAAAUUUAUCAAGUUUCUUUCUUGUAAGUUGUCUCAAAGUCUCUAAUAUAUUAACAUAAAUCUUCAAAAAGUCAUCAUUAUGGUAUAUGGUGUUUCUCUGAACUUAUUAAUUGCAGAAAUCUUUAUUCAAUAGCCACCUCUAGUGACUACUUCUACAGAAAGCACUUUGGAAACAAUCUUGUAGACAAAUUCGCUCAAGACAAGUUUCACUUCCUUCUUUAUGCAUAAACUAACUCUUCUGACUUUUAAAAUAAGUUUCUAGAUGUCUCCCUAUUUUCACAAAUCAUGACUGAGAAUGGAAUAAAGACUGGCAACAGCAUUUUUGUGGAAAUCAAAAAGAAUAGCUUAGUGCUGGGCUUGCUCAAAGGACAAUGGGGGAAAAAAUUUAAGACUGGUGCUAAAAAAUUUUAAUUUAAUUUAAUUUAAUUUAAUUUAAAAUAAAUAAAAUAAAAUAAAUAAAAAAUAAUAAAAUAAUAAAAUAAA